UGCGCCGGAAGUGGACGCCAAACGUGGCCGUGUGUCAAUCGACAACAACAAAGAGCAACAAUACUGAAAGUGCCGUGGCAACUGUUUGUGUGUUUCGCUGUGUUGUGCGAGUCAGCAACAGCAACAACAACAACAACAACACCAACAACAGCAGCAACAACAUCAACAACAAUUACAACAAUAACAACGCCAACAACAAUGCGAAUCGACGCGUCAAGUGAAUUAAGCGAUUUUUAAAGCUUUACGCUAAAUGAAAUUUGAAUUGGCAUCGUCCGAAUAUACGAAUAUAUACGAAAUAUGCGCGAGUGUUCACUUGUGUGUGCAAAUUAAAUUACGCAAAUCAAAUAAAUGUGAAACAGCAAAAAA